rnacentral:rRNA from 1 species
UACGAAGGGGGCUAGCGUUGUUCGGAAUUACUGGGCGUAAAGCGCGCGUAGGCGGAUAUUUAAGUCAGGGGGUGAAAUCCCGAGGCUCAACCUCGGAACUGCCUUUGAUACUGGGGAUCUCGAGUCCGGGAGAGGUGAGUGGAACUGCGAGUGUAGAGGUGAAAUUCGUAGAUAUUCGCAAGAACACCAGUGGCGAAGGCGGCUCACUGGCCCGGUACUGACGCUGAGGUGCGAAAGCGUGGGGAGCAAACAGG